AGAUGCAAUGAAUUUCAGGACAAAAUGUGCCCCCCCCCACUUGCCACCUGUUACGGAAAGGGAAGCAUUCUUACUGGCCCUUCCAGAGGGAAGUCAGCACUGGGAAAACAAGAAAGAAGAACAUUACCCAAGCCUCCCACUGCCCCACAGCCCUAAAUUCCUAUCCUGAAUCUGCCUUAAGGUAGAAAUUAAUUAUCUGAGGUCACAUUCAGGUUGCAUUUGUUCAGAAAUGAUCUCUAUCUAAAAAAACAGAACCACUUUUGUAAAGCCAGAGUAGAGACUGCAUGAAGAUUAAAGCUCAACAAUUCUUGAAGAACUUUUUAAAAAUUCCCACCGGACAAGGCCUCGCACCCCACCUUGCUACAGAAAAUACAUUACUGCUUUGCUGCAAAAGUUUUGUGAGAUGGCAGAAGGAUUAAGAAUCGAUAAUGACAAAAAUAUGUUGAAGAAGCAAAGAGGAAAUUAAUCGUAAGGAGGAAGACAAUAACACAAGUAGGCAAGAUUGUGAAAGAGAAGGAUAUUUUUAUGGCAACAAAGGUUGUCAUCAGAAUAAUUUAAAGCAGGAGUCCUUUCAAGAAAAAGGACGGUUAUAGAAGCUGGAGAUAAGAAAGGACAAAAGAAAGAGAGUAGACGUCUUUGAACUAUGAAUCUGAAGAAGGUUCCUCAAAGUGUCAUUGGCCCCUUUGAAUUGUGAGGCUGAAGAAAAGGAAUGAAGAAAAUUUGAACAGCAAGAAGAACAAAUUAGUCAGUGCUCAAUGAAAUAAAAUCAAACUGCUCUCUAUAAGCCCUAAGAAGCGAGGGAAUGCCUAACUGUUUUGAACCAUAAAGUGAGUGGAAAAAAAUUGUUGGAGAAGAUUGUUAAGUUUGGACAAAUCAAAGCCAGUCAGAAAAAGUGUUGGCAGAAGAUAAGUGGAUAGACACUAUCUUCAAUGAUUGAAAUGGGAGGUUCCAAGGACUGAAACCUAGUCCUUCAACUGUUAUUUGAAACUACUAUUACUCUUUAACACUCUAGAGCAGGGGUUCUCAAUCUUGGCAACUUUAAGACUUGUGGACUUCAACUCCCAGAAUUCCUCAGCCAGCCAAGGUUGAGAACUCCUGCUCUAGAGAAUUCUGGAUAAGGAACAGCAAUUUAUCAUUCAACCUGGCUCCAACAUGGAAAAAGAAAAAACUCAGAAAGCAGGAAGAGUCUACCUCACGGGUGUCUUGGGAGGCUAAGAUGGGAUCAAUGCCAAGCCUGCACUGUGAUAGGCAGCAGGGACUGUCUUAUAAAGUGUGUGGGGGGGGGAGAAUGCAAAGUCUUUUUCAGAGUGGACAGAAUAGAAUCCCCCAAAGUGGGCAUGGCCUGGACAAAGAAGUGGACCAUACCAACAAUGAUGCAAUCUAAUUUAAAUUUAAAUUUGAUCAAAAUUAAAUGAAGUUAGGGAGAUAGAUAGAUAGAUAGAUAGAUAGAUAGAUAGAUAGAUAGAUAGAUAUUCUUUUUUUAAAAAGGAAAGAAUUUCAAGUAAUGAUCAUAUACAGUAGCUUUCUUAGCCACUACCCCAAUCCCUUCCAUAAGCAUCACUGGUUUCCUUCGACACCAUUCAAACUUCAAAUUGAUGAAAACUCAAAGCCAGUUUGGUCUACUAGUUAAGGCAGCAGGCUAGAACGCAGGAGAUUGUGAGUUCAAAUCCUGCUUUAGCCAUGAAAGCCAGUUGGGUGACUUUAAGCCAGUCACUCUCCCUCAGCCCAAUACUCUUCACAGGGUUACUGUUGUGGGGAAAAUAAGAGGAGGAAGUUGUGUUGAAUGUUUGCUGUCUUGAGUUAUUUGUAAAAAUAAAAAAGAUGAGAUAGAAACAAACGAACAAACUUUGGAGGAAUGUGCUGAUAGCCACAC